CAUUACAAGUGAGGCUACCGAACGUUGGAAACAGCGGUUAGGAGCUUACACCCACCCGUGUUUACAUACUAUUGUUGCUUUGGCGGGCCGUGGCCUCCACUGCGGGCUCUGCUCGUGUGUGCCCGCCAGAGAACCAAACUCUGAAUGUUAGUGAUGUCCGAGUACUAUCUAAUAGUUAAAACUUUCAACAACGGAUCUCUUGGUUCUGGCAUCGAUGAAGAACGCAGCGAAAUGCGAUAAGUAAUGUGAAUUGCAGAAUUCAGUGAAUCAUCGAAUCUUUGAACGCACAUUGCGCCCUGUGGUAUUCCGCAGGGCAUGCCUGUUCGAGCGUCAUUUAACCACUCACGCCUAGCGUGGUAUUGGGGCACGCGGUCUCCGCGGCCCUCAAAAUUAGUGGCGGCGCCGGUGGGCUCUAAGCGUAGUACAUACUCCCGCUAUAGAGUUCCCCCCGGUGGCUCGCCAGAACCCCAAUUUUUACAGGUUG
rnacentral:rRNA from 1 species